AGAAGGAGAGAGAGAGAAAAAAAAGACAACAUUCCUAGUGAUCUUUCCGUGGGACUGCGGCAAGGAGGCAGCAGGCACAGUGAAACUGGGCGGCGAUGGAUACUCCCAGCACUUGCUGAGCACUGCUACGCCUCAGGACUGGGACAGGACAGAAGAGCUCCUUGGCACUGGAUGCCUCCGGGUCUGGUUGAGAGAGGAAUGGUUAGGAGACUGUUCUGAGGAUACGCAGACAUCAUCCAAAGCUUCCUACAUUCAGAUGAGGACAGAGGUUGGGCCAGAGCUUUGUAUGCUUGUUACCUAAGGAUGGUUCUGACCAUGUAAGCAGAUCACAGAAGAGCCAGCCUUGACAAUGUGCUGUUGGCAACCU
rnacentral:antisense_RNA from 1 species